rnacentral:rRNA from 1 species
UACGUAGGGGGCAAGCGUUGUCCGGAAUCAUUGGGCGUAAAGCGCGUGUAGGCGGCCCGGUAAGUCCGCUGUGAAAGUCGGGGGCUCAACCCUCGAAUGCCGGUGGAUACUGUCGGGCUAGAGUGCGGGAGAGGCGGAGUGGAAUUCCUGGUGUAGCGGUGAAAUGCGCAGAUAUCAGGAGGAACACCGGUGGCGAAGGCGGGUCUCUGGGCCGAUACUGACGCUGAGACGCGAAAGCGUGGGGAGCGAACAGG